UGGGGAAUUUUGCACAAUGGGGGAAACCCUGAUGCAGCGACGCCGCGUGAUUUAGAAGGCCUUCGGGUUGUAAAAAUCUGUUCUAUGGGAAGAAAAUGACAGUACCAUAGGAAUAAGGACCGGCUAAUUACGUGCCAGCAGCCGCGGUAAUACGUAAGGUCCGAGCGUUGUCCGGAAUCAUUGGGCGUAAAGGGUACGUAGGCGGGUAAGCAAGUUAGAAGUGAAAUCCUAUAGCUCAACUAUAGUAAGCUUUUAAAACUGCUCAUCUUGAGGUAUGGAAGGGAAAGUGGAAUUCCUAGUGUAGCGGUGAAAUGCGCAGAUAUUAGGAGGCAUACCGGUGGCGAAGGCGACUUUCUGGCCAUAACCUGACGCUGAGGUACGAAAGCGUGGGUAGCAAACAGG
rnacentral:rRNA from 1 species